GCAGACAGAGAAGCCAUGCUUCCCAGGGACCCAGCUUUGAUAACUGGGGAGAGAAGAGAAUUAAAACAGAAACCAAGGCAACGGGAAGGAAGAGAGGCAUCCCCUUGUUGGCAAAAAUGCCUAUAGCCAAGUAGUUAUGCUGUGAUAUGAUGGCUGCAAAAAUGUUUGGGGCAAAAAUACAGCAGAGAUGCCUAAGGCAAAAAUAUUGGACAUGUAUAUAAAGCAGGCUAAUUCAGUGGAUCUGUGAAAUCCCAAGUGACUUCAAAUUUCCUGUUUUGCCAUUAGCUGGCACCCUUCAUGGUCCCAAAAAGGAGGAGGCAGUCCAAGGAGUCACAUCCAGGCACGGUAACAUCCAAAGAAAAGAUUAGAGCAACAGCGACAGGAUGAGCUGACUCAGCAGGACCAGGACUUCUGUGCAGUCGGAGGAAACACUACACUGACGACGGGCAUGGUAGGCCUGCCCCGCUGUCUAUGCUAUUUAGAGAUGGAAUCAUAAACACUUAGAGCUCGAAGACGGUGUGGUGACCAUCUAACACCUAUCUCCCUCAGUG